GACGAACGCUGGCGGCGUGCCUAAUACAUGCAAGUCGAACGCUUCUUUCCUCCCGAGUGCUUGCUCUCAAUUGGAAAGAGGAGUGGCGGACGGGUGAGUAACACGUGGGUAACCUACCCAUCAGAGAGGGAUGACACUUGGAAACAGGUGCUAAUACCGCAUAACAGUUUAUGCCGCAUGGCAUAAGAGUGAAAGGCGCUUUCGGGUGUCGCUGAUGGAUGGACCCGCGGUGCAUUAGCUAGUUGGUGAGGUAACGGCUCACCAAGGCCACGAUGCAUAGCCGACCUGAGAGGGUGAUCGGCCACACUGGGACUGAGACACGGCCCAGACUCCUACGGGAGGCAGCAGUAGGGAAUCUUCGGCAAUGGACGAAAGUCUGACCGAGCAACGCCGCGUGAGUGAAGAAGGUUUUCGGAUCGUAAAACUCUGUUGUUAGAGAAGAACAAGGACGUUAGUAACUGAACGUCCCCUGACGGUAUCUAACCAGAAAGCCACGGCUAACUACGUG
rnacentral:rRNA from 1 species